CGUUGAAACACCGGUUCCCUUACGAUCACCGAAGUUAAACAACAUCAAGCUUAGUCAGUACCUAGAUGGGUGACUGUUUGAGAAUACCAGGUGCUGUAAG